rnacentral:rRNA from 1 species
AGAGCGAACGCUGGCGGCAGGCCUAACACAUGCAAGUCGAACGGACCCUUCGGGGUUAGUGGCGGACGGGUUGAAUUAACACGUGGGAAACGUGCCUUUAGGGUCGGAAUAGCUCCUGGAAACGGGUGGUAAUGCCGAAUGUGCCCUUCGGGGGAAAGAUUUAUCGCCUUUAGAGCGGCCCGCGUCUGAUUAGCUAGUUGGUGAGGUAAUGGCUCACCAAGGCGACGAUCAGUAGCUGGUCUGAGAGGAUGAUCAGCCACAUUGGGACUGAGACACGGCCCAAACUCCUACGGGAGGCAGCAGUGGGGAAUUUUGCGCAAUGGGCGAAAGCCUGACGCAGCCAUGCCCGCGUGAAUGAUGAAGGUCUUAGGAUUGUAAAAUUCUUUACCGGUGACGAUAUGACGGUCCCGGAGAAGAACCCCGGUUAAUUUUUGCCAAAUCCCGUUUCUAUGGGGUUAUCUUAUGGAUU